UCAUGCCGGAUAUCCGAUGUCCUUGUUCUAUAUCGCAGCAAUUAAAUUCGAAACAAGGCAUCGGAAAUCUGAACGGCAUCUUGCUGUCCGCGUAGGGACUGCAGUGUCACAACACAGGAAGGGUGGAAGCCCACUUCAGAGAGACGUCGUGACCCCGCUGCAGCGUCUAAUCUGGAAAGCACCCAGGUAAGGCUGGGAAAGACUCCUGCCUGCAGCCUCGGAGAGCCGCUGCCAGCCAGCGCAGACAAUACUGCACGAGAGGGCCCAAUGGUCUGACUCAGCAUAUGGCAGCUUCCUAUGUUCCUAAGCCCUUCGUUUGUGAACGGCUUUGAAAUCAUGUUUUCUUGAAGAGCUAUAGACAGUGUUGAGAAGCAAGUAAUGUUUUUCCUCUCAAAAGUACAAAGCCACUGGGAAUAUGGGGUGAAAAGCACAACCUCCUUCUGUAAGCCUGCCAAUUCCCAGCCCCAGAAGUUGGAGAAUAGUACGCUUAAAAUGGAAUGCGCUUCCAAGAUCAACCACACAGAGUUAAGUCUGCCUUGCUCCUGUCAGCCAGUAGAUUCGACAACUGCAAAAUGCCUAUAGACAUAGGUCUAGAUUCAUGUUGUUCACUAGUUAAAUCUGUGUUUUACUGUGUAUAUGGGUUUUUUUAACCUUUUAAAUAAAGUAUUUUUUAAGAUUCAAAUUGAAUAUUUGUAUUGUUUUAAUUGUUUAAUAUAUUUGUACUUUUUAAAAAAAAUACUGUAAACCUCCUUAGGAUUAAUAUUUUUUAUGAAAGGCAGUAUACAACAAUCUCCUGCUAACUGAACAAAAAAGCACCUUUCAAAGUGGUGAUUCUCUUAUAUGAAGCAGUGGGAGAGCAACUGGCCCUGUCCAACCCCAGCACAGCAUCCCUCCAGUGGCUGUUGCUGGGGUCUCUCUUGUGUUUCUUUUUUAGAUUGGGAGCCCUUUGGGCACAGGGGACCAACCAUCAUAUUGAUUAUUUUUCUCUCCAUUUAUUUAGCAUAUGUACAAGCUCCCUUGAGAAGUCAAUCAUGCUGGGGAAAGUUGAAGGAAAGAGAAGAAGAGGACGACCAGCAGCAAGGUGGAUGGACUCAAUGACAACAGCAAUGGAUGCACCACUGAGAGACCUUGAAGGCCAAGCUGAAGACAGAUCAUCCUGGACAGAAUCUAUCUAUGUGGUCGCUAAGAGUCGACACCAACUUGACGGCACUUAAUCAAAAUAUGCCAUCCCAAACUCACAUCUCUGAGCAGUUUCGGUGUAAACCACUUUGAGAACUUUUGCUGAAAAGUGGAAUAUACAUAUUCCUAGUUGUAGUAACAAAUAAAGUCACUGAAUCUUG